rnacentral:rRNA from 1 species
UACGUAGGGUGCAAGCGUUGUCCGGAAUUAUUGGGCGUAAAGAGCUCGUAGGCGGUCCGUCACGUCGGCUGUGAAAACCCGGGGCUCAACCCCGGGCCUGCAGUCGAUACGGGCGGACUAGAGUUCGGCAGGGGAGACUGGAAUUCCUGGUGUAGCGGUGAAAUGCGCAGAUAUCAGGAGGAACACCGGUGGCGAAGGCGGGUCUCUGGGCCGAUACUGACGCUGAGGAGCGAAAGCGUGGGGAGCGAACGGG